UCCUUAGAUAGGAUAAUCCUUCCAUGUUCCUAUAUUUAGGGGGCAGAUAGCACAUAAUUGGAGUUAGCAUGACUCGAGAUUAAUGUCUCUUCCUGGAUAGGGCUCAUAAUACCCUAAUUGCUCCUAUCUGGU